UUUAUUGGAGAGUUUGAUCCUGGCUCAGGAUGAACGCUGGCGGCGUGCCUAAUACAUGCAAGUCGAGCGAAUGGAUUAAGAGCUUGCUCUUAUGAAGUUAGCGGCGGACGGGUGAGUAACACGUGGGUAACCUGCCCAUAAGACUGGGAUAACUCCGGGAAACCGGGGCUAAUACCGGAUAACAUUUUGAACUGCAUGGUUCGAAAUUGAAAGGCGGCUUCGGCUGUCACUUAUGGCUGGACCCGCGUCGCCUUAGCUAGUUGGUGAGGUAACGGCUCACCAAGGCAACGAUCCGUAGCCGACCUGAGAGGGUGCUCGGCGACACUGGGACUGAGACUCGGCCCAUACUCCUCCGGGAGGUAGCAGGAGGGAAUCUUCCUCCAUUGGACGA
rnacentral:rRNA from 1 species